GGUCGGUUAGGGAGCACGGCGGAAGAUCGUGGCGUGUUACGGCGCAUUUCAACUCGCAUCCUCGUCGUCCCGUACGAGUGUUUGAUGCGAGCGAGUGUUUCGAGAAUGCUGUGGAGUAUCGAAAGCGAAGUGUCGGGCGUUCGUGGCAUUCAUCCAUCGUGUCAGAUACGAUGCAUGGUGCGUAGUUGUAUCGCGUUUUGCAUCUUCUCUGCCUCGUAUCCUGAGUCUCAAACGCGUGUGAAUAUCAGGAUUGAGUGUUUCGAGAGUGUUGAAAACGAAAGAUCACGAGUGAGGAGGAUCUUGGAUGUUCGAGAGUUGUGGCCGAAACGAAUGGAAACGAAGCUGGACAGAGUUAACGACUUGCUGCAAAUUCGCCUUUACAAUUUGGUAUUUGUGCCUCGUUUCCAUUGCGUUCGCGUAAAUUAUCGUGGGUACAUAUAGUACGACGAGACGAAUGAAUCGGUCGCCGUUAAGAAACGGAUAGGAACGAUUUAAAGUUGACAUACGCGCGUUUGCGGAAUGCCGUUCGGCGCUCCCUUCGCCAGGUGUGCCAAUAGUCGGGCGACAUUAAAAUCGAGACGAUGUCCUUCGGUCACUUGUGCACAUGCGUCGAGGGUAGCCUACGAUUGGCUGAUAGUGACGUAUGCGUUCAGAGGACCAAUGAGACAGUUCGUCUUAUAACCUCCUUGCGACCAAUCACGAUCGGGCUACAUUAGCUACGUACUAUGCCUUGAGAAAAUGGCCGACUCGUUGACGAAGUACGGCGUUUACAUCGAUGACUUGAGCAAGGUACGCGUUCUAGAGCCGGAAGCAGCGAAUCAGACGAACAAGCUGAAGGAGGAAUGUCAGAGUUUCGUGUCCAAGAUUACUGAAUUUGAGAAAAAUUCCAACGAAUUCAUUACGAUUUUGGACAAUUUGGCAAAGGAGGUGGAGAGGGAAAAAAUGAGGACAAUUGGUGCACGAAAUCUGCUACGUUCCGUUGCAAAGCAAAGGGAAGCCCAGAAACAGCAGAUGCAGGCAUUGAUCCUGGAAAAGUCUAUGGAACUAGAACGACUACGAGUACAGUAUGAUUCUUUAAAGAAGAUUGAACUAGAACAGUUAGAAACUAUUGAGCAUUUAUCAGUGAAUUAAAUGUAACAAUUUAAAUUUCCAUCCACAUUUCUUCAUUGCUGAUUCAUCGAACAUCUUUUGUUUUCAUUUUGCCAAUAAAUAAUACAACAAUUUUAGAUAGCCUCGAUAUUUACUGUCUAGAAAAUUAGAAAAAGAUAAAGGAUUUUUCAAAUAGAAAAUAAAGAAAUUAAAGCUAAUUUCUAUAUGUAGAAAUCGACAUAAGUCGCCUUAAGCAUUACAGGGUGCUAUCAAUUUGAUGCUACAAAUGUUUGGAGCAUUUGUUAACUACUAAUAUUUAAUAAAAAAUUUUAUAAAUCGA